AGGUGCUGCAUGGCUGUCGUCGGCUCGUGCCGUGAGGUGUUGGGUUAAGUCCCGCAACGAGCGCAACCCUUGUCAUUAGUUGCUACGAAAGGGCACUCUAAUGAGACUGCCGGUGACAAACCGGAGGAAGGUGGGGAUGACGUCAAGUCCUCAUGGCCCUUAUAGGUGGGGCUACACACGUCAUACAAUGGCUGGUACAAAGGGUUGCCAACCCGCGAGGGGGAGCCAAUCCCAUAAAGCCAGUCGUAGUCCGGAUCGCAGUCUGCAACUCGACUGCGUGAAGUCGGAAUCGCUAGUAAUCGUGGAUCAGCAUGUCACGG
rnacentral:rRNA from 1 species